AAAAGAUUUAGUAAGCCAUAGCUUUUAGGUGUACUUGAGGCAAUGAGUAUCUGAGAAAAAAAAAACAAAACUUCUUGCUGAAGUUCCAGCUUGACAGAAGUCAAAUGAAGUCAAAUGGCGCUGCCCUCACCUUCCCACACUGCUGGGGUGCUCCAUCCUGGACACUUCUUGCCUAGCGCAUGAAGCAGCCCACCCCACCCAGCACUUCACUGCAGGCGGUGUCCAACACUGAAGGAAUUUCACACCAUCGUGUCAGUGAAUGCACUUCAUCAUCUGUCCAAGAAGAGGAGAGCAAGGCUGAGCAAGGUCAGGAAAUCAAACCAUGUAAGAAAAGUCCUUGCAACUCUGCAGAGACACGGAUGAAACUGGACCGAUAA
rnacentral:lncRNA from 1 species